CUUCCUGUUCUUGAAGAAGGUCAGUGUCCCAUGCCAGGUAUCCAAGUGUACGCCAAUAAUAGAGCCCUGGCCGAAGCGUGAAGAGAAGCUUGUCUUGUCACCUUUGUGAUGGAGGAGCCCUGGGAGCAGCAGAUGGGUUCUCCACUAUCCUGUCUUCUGCCUGCAAUAUCACCGGCUCUCGAAGAGGGCACCAAAUCCCAUACCAUAUCCUAAGAACCAUCAUGGUGGUUGGACAGUACCACAAACAAGUGAGGCCAGCGACAGCUGAGGGGAGACUUGAAACUGACCUCCAACUCCAGGCUGUGUAGUUGGAGUAGUGACUCCACAAAGAGCCAGACAAAGGAUAUGUAGUCAACCAAGGUGAACUUAGGCACCUCAGAAGCCAACAAGAACAGCUAUCUUGCCUAAAGGAAAGGCUUGUACCCCAGAUAGAGCAGACCUUGUACCCACCGACAAAGUUCGGGUCCCCUAAAGCCAAGAUAAAUCCACUGAAUCAGGAAUCAGGGGAUAAGGUAAAUCUACCUAGGACAGGAGGGAGGGAGGAAGGGAUGUUCAAGCCAACAAAGGGCCCAGGGACACCAGGAACUCACUGCCACCUGACUACAUGGCUGCAAACUCAUUGCUUGACAGGCAUGUGUGUGUCACUGCUUCCAUCCCUCAGUGAUGACUGUGAGACAGGAACAGGCACACAGGCUGCUCCAGGGUACAUUGUCAUCAGAUCUAGCUGAAAAUUUGGGCUGACCUCUCAAGCUCUGAAGCCCCCAAGAAGGGUCUAGGACACUGCUGACCAACUCAGUAAUCUACAGCUUCCAAGUUUUCCUCACAACCUGGUGAGGGACUCUGUGCUACAGGGAGCUGUGACAUCAGAGUAGAGGCAAGGAAGGGCAGAGCCAGAAUACCAGUCCAGUAUAGCAAGACAAAUGAGGAGCCACCCCCAAGAGCCUAGUCAGGUGCAUCAAGCUGGUCCCUGCCCUGUGCCUUGCAUUCCUGGGCCUCCCUGUGCCUUAAGUCGGCCACAAAGGAAGUCUUGGAAAUUUGAACUUCAAGAACUACAGAUUUAAAAAAUUUUUGAUGACCUGAGUUUGAUCCCCAGGGUAUGAAAUGGUAGAAGGAGAGAACUGACUCCUGCAAGUUGUCCUGACUGCCACAUGCUCACCAUAGCACACAUAGCCCACACAAUAAAUAAACUGCCUUAACUCCAAGGCCAGCCUGUGGGACAGUGUGAGACUAUUUCUAAAAGUAAAGAAGCUGGGCAUGGUGGAACACGCCUUUGAUCCCAGAACUUGGGAAACAGAGGCAGGCACAUCUCUUGAGUUCAAGGCUAGCUUGAUCUAGAUCCAGGAAAGCCAGAGUUACACAGAGACAUCUCAAAAAGGAAAAAAAAUCACGGAUCCUUAAAUGAAGUGAAUAUUUAUACACAGGAGUAUAAAGUGAGUAUCUGUGCAGCAAAAGAAACAUCCAGGGUUAUCAAGAAGGCUCAGCAUGUGUAUGCUUGCUACUGUACAUCAAGGACAACCUAAGUUUGAUUCCCAGAUCCCAAAUAAAGGUGGAAGGAGAGAACAAACUCCA